rnacentral:rRNA from 1 species
CCUACGGGGGGCAGCAGUGGGGAAUAUUGCACAAUGGGGGAAACCCUGAUGCAGCGACGCCGCGUGAGUGAAGAAGUAUUUCGGUAUGUAAAGCUCUAUCAGCAGGGAGGAAAAUGACGGUACUUGAUUAAGAAGCCACGGCUAACUACGUGCUAGCAGCCGCGGUAAGACGGAGGGGGCAAGCGGUAUCCGGAUUGACUGGGUGUAAAGGGAGCGUAGACGGCAGCACAAGUCUGGAGUGAAGUGCCGGGGCUUAACCCCGGAACUGCUUGGGAAACUGUGCAGCUAGAGUGCAGGAGAGGUAAGUAGAAUUCCUAGUGUAGCGGUGAAAUGCGUAGAUAUUAGGAGGAACACCAGUGGCGAAGGCGGCUAACUGGACUGUAACUGACGUUGAGGCUCGAAAGCGUGGGGAGCAAACAGGAUUAGAUACCCUUGUAGUC